GCCUCGGUGGCUCAGACCGGCAGAGCGAGUGACUUGUAAUCACUAGGUCGGGGGUUCAAAUCCCUCCCGAGGCU
rnacentral:tRNA from 1 species